UUAAGUAGAAAAUCAAGUUUUAUUUCAUACCAAGAACUUUUUUAUAUUACAAAUCAUAUGUACAUUUUACAUCCAAGAAAACCCUAGUCUAAAACCUACAAUUGACUUUGGUCAACUAGUUGACCAAAGUCAACCACAUUUUCCCAAGUCCACGCCAUUUUGAUCUUCAAGCCCAUAUAUUUUGGUUCAUGCCUUGGCAUCCAUGAUCAAAUCUCCAUGCCAAGCAAAACCUGUAAAAUCACAUUCAACCAAUGUUUUAAAAACCGGACCGAAGAUCGAACCGAUGAAACUUACGGUUUAAGGUUCAAUUGGUUCAACCGGUUCACCCUACGGUCGAACCGUUUAUUAAAUAAACUAAAAUAUAAAAUUAAACUUCAUAAAUAUGUCACACAUAAUCAUAUGUUCACAACUUAAUAAAAUAAAUAUUUCAAAAAUUCAUUACAAAUUUAAUACAACAAUAUCGAUAAUACAUAUAAUAACAUAACAACAACUUAAUAAAAUAAAUAUUUCAAAAAUUCAUUACAAAUUUAAUACAACAAUAUCGAUAAUACAUAUAAUAACAUAACAUAGUUCUACACUUCAUUUUUCAACAUUCAUUUAAGAACAAUUUGACAAAAUUAAAGAAUUACAAUAAAAUAAAUUAAACUAAUUCAAAUCAAAAUUAAAAUAAUAGAAUAUAAUAACUAAAAUAAAAUUGAAAUAAUUAAGAAUAUCUAAAUUAAAUAAUAUAAAAUAUCAAAAAUAAAUAAUAUAAUAUAUUUUAUUAAACAAAAAAAAUGAAUUUGAAUUGAAUUACGACAAAUAAAUCUUAAUUGACAAUAACAAACAAUAUUGACUUGAACGACAAUCAAUAUUAAGUUAGAUAUCGUGACUAUGUUUGAAAGAGACGACGUGAUGAUGAUGAAGUGUGGUUGAAAGAAAAACUAUAAUGGAGUGAUAAAACUUAGAAGUUUGUUUGGUUGUAAAAAAUUAUGGAUUUUUUUAGGUGAUUGGGAAUGUAUUUUAAGUUUUGAUAUUGACAUAUUAAAAUUUAUAAAAAAAUAAUUAAAAAAUGAUCAAUUUGAUGAAUUUUUUUGAACCGGAUGGUUUUACAAAAUCGGCUCCGGUUCUUUGGUUCGAAUGGUUUUGGACGGUUCAAUCCGGGUUUUCCGGUUUUAUUCCGAUUUUGACACACUAACGAUUUUGAAAGGUUAACCCAACCAGAUUCAUCUCCGGUUCCCGGUUCAACCGGUUGAACCGGCCGAUUCGGUCUGAUUUUUAAAACAUUACAUUCAACACCAUUAAUCACCAAGCAUAUGCCAUGGAUUUGUUCGAUACACAUCUUAUUUUAACACAAAAAUCAACACAAAAUCAUUUUUUUCCAUUACUAACAUAACAAUUUCCAAUUACUCAUUAACUUCAUUUAACCAAUGUAUAACAAUUUGUUGAAAUAACUAACAAUUUGUUGAAAUAACUAAUAGGCUAAUUUAAUUUUCACAACUAACAAAAUUGCAUCAUAUCACUGUCUUGACACAAUAAUCACCAUUCAAGUAUAGCAUUCAUUCAAACAAUUCCUACACAGUCCAAUCCAAACAUUCAUAAUUCACAUUCCAUACACAAUACAACCAAUCAAUUUAAUACACAAACAUAUGCCAUACGCAGUCCAUUAAUUAACAAGCAUAACACUAGUCCAAAUUCCAUAACAAUAUUCCAUGCAUCAUACACUAGCUCAUUCCAUUAAUCCAAACAUUCAACCUCAAUUCCAUCCAAAUUCCAUACGCAACCCUGAGAUCCUAACAACAUAGCUAAUACAAAUUCAACCAUCAUGGCUAAUGGCUAAGUGGACCGUCCCAAUCAAUUUAGAGGUUCUAUUCUAUUUUAAAAUUAGAUAUUUAAUAGAUAAAAACACAACAAAUAAAAAAGAUAUAUUUUGUUUAAUUAUAAAUAAAAUUAAAUAUAUAGAGACAAAAAUAAUAAAAAAUAUUAUCGAAGUUUAGUUAUUCCCGUUUUUCUUCUCUUACUAUCUUCGAUUUAUAAAAAGAGUUCAUACCAUUUAGUAAAAAGAAAAAAUUCUUUGAACAAUUUCCACAAUAUUAAUAAUGAAGUAUUUUACUUAAUAAACAAUCAGCAAUAUAAAGUUAUAAAUUUUCAAAAUGUCACGAUUACUAUUUCAAAUUUAUUAAUGUAGCGAUCCACAAUAUAUAAAAAUAUAAAUAUUUUCAAACUUACAUCUUAAAUUUUUUUAUAGAUCUAUAAAAUAUAUUAAUAAAAUUUUUUUAUUAAGUUAAUUGUAGUAUUAAAUUUUAAAUAUAAUUUAUUUAGAUUGUAGGCUGCUUGAUAGAAUAUACUUCAAUAUAUUAAUAAAAAAAUAUUGAUAAAAUUAAUUGCAACAUUAAAUUAAAUUUAAAAAUAAUGUGGUGUCGUUUUUCUUUAUAGAAAUAAAAAUAUACACAAAAUAUAAGAACAAGGAAUUGAACGCAAGUUGUAUUAUUAUCUAAAUAAUAUGACCACCGCUUAGCUACAUUACAACAAUAUAUUAAAAACAGAAUUAGUGAUAUAUAUUAGUUAAUAUUAUAUUUAUAUUGAUCUCAUCUAUCAAAUUCGAUACCCUAAAAAGUCGGAGGCCUGCGCGGUAGCAUUCUUCGCACCCUCAAAGGGCCGGGCCCUGAUAGCUAUGCAGUUCCAUACAUUUCAAACCUUUCCACACAAACAAUUCCAUAACUCAAUCCCCACACAUUCAUACGCAGGCCUAUAUUCCCUAACAACAUGAUUAACUUUUCAAGCAGCAAAAUGAAUACAUGACAGAAAAUUAAAACACAUUGAACUUGCAGAAUUUUUUUUAAAAGAACAAAUGGAAGAGCACUGUAACUAACAUGACGCGGCACACAUAGCAUCACAUUAAACUAACUGAAUUUGGCAAACUAACCGAAAAUCAUCAUCAACCGAAUUCACCCUCAUCUAACAUAAUACUUAAUAGAUAACUAAUCAAAACCUCUGAGAUUUAACAUAGUUUUCACUCUGUUAAAUCAAGGAUGGUAUAAAUAGCAAUCUCCCUGCAAUUUUCGGAAAAAACAUUCACUCACCAAACUCUCAGAUUCACUCUUCAAUUCUAACAUUCAUUCUUCAAGUUUCACUCUUCCAUCUCCAAUUCCUCACAAAUACUCAACUCACGUCGUAGUAGUUGCACGAAGAAGAAGAGAGGUGAAAUUCAAGAAGAGCAAAGAAAGAAUUCAAUACCUGUAAUUGCCGGAAGGCCAUCGCGUCGGAGCUCCAAUUCGGUAAGUGUUCUUCUCCUUCUUGCUUCUUUAAUCCGCGUGCACACGUCCAUGCUUUGAUAGUUCCCCGAUUCUCCUCGAUUUUGCGUGCAAAAGCGAAUUAAUUGCGAAUUGAUUUUGGUGUUGGAUUUUGCAAUUCGAUGAAGAUGAAGAUGAAUGUUGAAAUCAAAUUGUAUAGGAUUUCAGUAUGAUGAUUAAGCUUGUAUCAAGAUUUGUUUCUUUUUGGCUCAUGGUUUGCAUUUGACAUUCGAAAUGAAAGUGAAAGCGUGGAAUCGAAAUGAAUCAGAGGAGUUUCAUUGUUGCUGAGUUCAUGUAUCCGAAUUCGUUUUGAUUUGUUCAUUUUUUGCAUUUGGUUUUCGUUUGGACUUUGGAAGUGAGAAGGAGAAACUGUGAGAUUGAUGCUGAAGCAAAGAGGAACUCAGGAGUUCAUGUGUUUGUGUGUUAGCUUGGACCCGAGUUGCUUGGAGCUUGGGCUUGAGGACCAAGCCUUCCGAUUCACACACCUCCCAAACAAUGUUCAUACCCCUGCCUCAUUCAUUUUAAUUUAAUUCCAUUUUAUUA
rnacentral:lncRNA from 1 species